UAUCGUAAACAGCUUUAAGAAACACUUGCAGCCCAUUUGAUAUGACGGACGAAGAGUUUCGGCAUAUUUACAGAGUGCGUAAGGAGUGUGCAGUGCAUUUACUUAUGUGCCGAAUUUAACGCCGAGCUUCAAAACGGUGAUGGGUUACCUACCAAAACAUCUCAAAGGUUCUAACAGUAUACACCACACCAGCAGCACACCUACACCAGCAGCAGCAGCAGCAGCUGCUGGUGUGUAACAGUUACACCUGCUAGCUGAUGGCAAUUAACUACCAACGUGGGACUAGUCAAGAUCAUGGCUUGUCCAUUGGAGCACUACUGACUGGAUUGGCCACACUACUGUAAGCCUGAACCUCGAGCAGUUUGUAGAUGCUGUAAACAGAAGAAAACUUCUCGUGGAUCAAGGGAAAAAUUAGAGAAGACGCUCCUAAAAAACUUCCUAAGCAUGCAAGCAUGCACAAAACCGGCUCUUAAUAAGCUUAAUAAAUACAUAUUUCGCC